AGUGAACGCUGGCGGUAGGCCUAACACAUGCAAGUCGAACGGCAGCACAGUAAGAGCUUGCUCUUACGGGUGGCGAGUGGCGGACGGGUGAGGAAUACAUCGGAAUCUACUUUUUCGUGGGGGAUAACGUAGGGAAACUUACGCUAAUACCGCAUACGACCUACGGGUGAAAGCAGGGGAUCUUCGGACCUUGCGCGAUUGAAUGGGCCGAUGUCGGAUUAGCUAGUUGGCGGGGUAAAGGCCCACCAAGGCGACGAUCCGUAGCAGGUCUGAGAGGAUGAUCAGCCACACUGGAACUGAGACACGGCCCAGACUCCUACGGGAGGCAGCAGUGGGGAAUAUUGGACAAUGGGCGCAAGCCUGAUCCAGCCAUACCGCGUGGGUGAAGAAGGCCUUCGGGUUGUAAAGCCCUUUUGUUGGGAAAGAAAAGCAGCAGGUUAAUACCCCGCUGUUCUGACGGUACCCAAAGAAUAAGCACCGGCUAACUUCGUG
rnacentral:rRNA from 1 species